AUGAACGCUGGCGGCGUGCCUAAUACCUGCAAGUCGAGCGAACAGACGAGGAGCUUGCUCCUCUGACGUUAGCGGCGGACGGGUGUGUAACACGUGGAUAACCUACCUAUAAGACUGGGAUAACUUCGGGAAACCGGAGCUAAUACCGGAGAAUAUAUUGAACCGCAUGGUUCAAUAGUGAAAGACGGUUUUGCUGUCACUUAUAGAUGGAUCCGCGCCGCAUUAGCUAGUUGGUAAGGUAACGGCUUACCAAGGCAACGAUGCGUAGCCGACCUGAGAGGGUGAUCGGCCACACUGGAACUGAGACACGGUCCAGACUCCUACGGGAGGCAGCAGUAGGGAAUCUUCCGCAAUGGGCGAAAGCCUGACGGAGCAACGCCGCGUGAGUGAUGAAGGUCUUCGGAUCGUAAAACUCUGUUAUUAGGGAAGAACAAAUGUGUAAGUAACUAUGCACGUCUUGACGGUACCUAAUCAGAAAGCCACGGCUAACUACGU
rnacentral:rRNA from 1 species